UACGUAGGGUGCGAGCGUUAAUCGGAAUUACUGGGCGUAAAGCGUGCGCAGGCGGUUUUGUAAGCCAGAUGUGAAAUCCCCGGGCUUAACCUGGGAAUGGCAUUUGGGACUGCAAGGCUGGAGUGUGGCAGAGGAGACUGGAAUUCCUGGUGUAGCAGUGAAAUGCGUAGAUAUCAGGAGGAAUACCGAUGGCGAAGGCAGGUCUCUGGGCCAUAACUGACGCUGAGAAGCGAAAGCAUGGGGAGCGAACAGG
rnacentral:rRNA from 1 species